CUGACCUUCCUGAAAGUAGCUGGUCAGACCCUCAGAUCUUCCUGAGAGUUGGGGGUUCGGACCACCAGACCUUCCUGAAAGUCGGGGCUCAGACCCUCAGACCACACUGCAUGUGGGGGUUGGACCAGCUCAUCAUGCGGAGAGGCCGGGAAGAGAUUAUAAUAUGGGAUAACGCUGCCUUUUACAGUGUGAAAGUGUUGUGAAAAUGGAAAUGACGUGAGAAAUGCAUCACAAGGAAAUGUCGCAAUCCCGCGUCUCAUUUCCUGCCGUUUUUAAACGUGCUCCACGUCGUGUUCCUUAAAGAACCACAUUUUCAGAAUCCCUGUCUAAUUCCGUACUGAAAUGGCUUCUGUUGUGAACGUGAAGUAUCUCCGGUCGGCUCGGGGCUUGCUGAAGGUCGCCCAGCUGGUGGUCCUCCUGCCCGUGUUCCUCUGCGUUCACACCUCCUGGCACAGGGUGAGCUACGCCUUCGCCUUCUUCCAUGUCACCACGCUGGUGCUCCUGGUCGCCAUCCUGCUCUUCCUCAUCCUCGCUGCUCUGAAGCUGCCCAGCAGGGUCACCUGGGUCAACUGGGACGUGACUGUGAGUGUCCUGCAUGAAACUGCGUACAUCAGAAGUAUAAAUGAUUAUGACUAAUAGAACAUUCUACGGCAACCAUGGUUUUAUUUCUAGCCGAGGUCCUUAAGUACAGAUUAUUAUUAAAGAUUAUUAAAAGGAUGAAAGAUGAUGGACGUUUAUGAGAGUAAGAUGGGGAUCUCCAAAAUCUUCUCAGAAGACCAGAAUUACGACCCCAGUUCGUUCAGCAUCGGGUAAAGCAGCAGACGCCUUUGUCUUUCAGGAGUUUGCGUUGGACAUUUUGGGGUUCUUCAGCCUGGUCGCAGUCUCCUGCACCGCCGCCGUGAAGAGCUGCGACGUGCCGCUGCUGAUGGGCGCAUCCAUUUCGGGCAUCCUGCUGACCUACCUCCUGGCUGCCAGCGCGUCCUUGUCCUUCCAGGCCGCCUGGCGUCCCCCGUCCACUCAGACUCCGGGUCAAGUUCAAGGUGAGGAAACGUAGCAACUAGUGAUGGAACGGUUAACGGUACGCUUCAUUAAACAUCAGCCGCUCAUCACGUUUCGACAUUUACUAUUUAAUAUGAAUUUUGGGGUG
ensembl:lncRNA CKLF-like MARVEL transmembrane domain-containing protein 7